rnacentral:rRNA from 1 species
UACGAGGGGGGCAAAUGUUGUUCGGAAUCACUGGGCGUAAAGGGAGCGUAGGCGGGCUUUUAAGUUGGAUGUUUAACCCCGGGGCCCAACCCCGGAUCGGCAUCCAAAACUGGAAGUCUUGAAUAGUGGAGAGGACGACGGAAUUGGGGGUGUAGCGGUGGAAUGCGUAGAGAUCCCCAAGAACACCAGUUGCAAAGGCGGUCGUCUGGACACAUAUUGACGCUGAGGCUCGAAAGCAUGGGGAGCAAACAGG